rnacentral:rRNA from 1 species
UACGGAGGGUGCAAGCGUUAUCCGGAUUCACUGGGUUUAAAGGGUGCGUAGGAGGGCAGGUAAGUCAGUGGUGAAAUCUCCGGGCUUAACUCGGAACUGCCGUUGAUACUAUCUGUCUUGAAUACCGUGGAGAUGAGCGGAAUAUGUCAUGUAGCGGUGAAAUGCUUAGAUAUGACAUAGAACACCAAUUGCGAAGGCAGCCUCGUUACACGAAUAUUGACUCUGAGGCACGAAAGCGUGGGGAGCAAACAGG